GAGUUUGAUCAUGGCUCAGGAUGAACGCUCGCGGCAGGCUUAACACAUGCAAGUCGAACGGUAACAUUGGUGCUUGCACUAGAUGACGAGUGGCGAACGGGUGCGUAACGCGUAUACAACCUACCUCUUAUUAAGGAAUAGCUCAGAGAAAUUUGAAUUAAUACCUUAUAAUAUCUUAAAGCCGCAUGGUUUAAAGAUUAAAGAAUUACGGUGAAAGAUGAGUAUGCGUUCUAUUAGUUAGUUGGUGUGGUAACGGCACACCAAGACAGCGAUAGAUAGGGGCCCUGAGAGGGGGAUCCCCCACACUGGUACUGAGACACGGACCAGACUCCUACGGGAGGCAGCAGUGAGGAAUAUUGGACAAUGGAGGCAACUCUGAUCCAGCCAUGCCGCGUGCAGGAAGACUGCCCUAUGGGUUGUAAACUGCUUUUAUACAGGAAGAAACACCUCUACGUGUAGAGGCUUGACGGUACUGUAAGAAUAAGGAUCGGCUAACUCCGUGCCAGCAGCCGCGGUAAUACGGAGGAUCCAAGCGUUAUCCGGAAUCAUUGGGUUUAAAGGGUCCGUAGGUGGAUAAUUAAGUCAGAGGUGAAAUCCUGCAGCUCAACUGUAGAAUUGCCUUUGAUACUGGUUAUCUUGAGUUAUUAUGAAGUAGUUAGAAUAUGUAGUGUAGCGGUGAAAUGCAUAGAUAUUACAUAGAAUACCAAUUGCGAAGGCAGAUUACUAAUAAUAUACUGACACUGAUGGACGAAAGCGUGGGUAGCGAACAGGAUUAGAUACCCUGGUAGUCCACGCCGUAAACGAUGGAUACUAGCUGUUCGGACUUCGGUCUGAGUGGCUAAGCGAAAGUGAUAAGUAUCCCACCUGGGGAGUACGUUCGCAAGAAUGAAACUCAAAGGAAUUGACGGGGGCCCGCACAAGCGGUGGAGCAUGUGGUUUAAUUCGAUGAUACGCGAGGAACCUUACCAGGGCUUAAAUGUAAGUUGCAUUAGUUAGAGAUAGCUAUUUCUUCGGACCACUUACAAGGUGCUGCAUGGUUGUCGUCAGCUCGUGCCGUGAGGUGUCAGGUUAAGUCCUAUAACGAGCGCAACCCCUGUUGUUAGUUGCCAGCGAGUCAUGUCGGGAACUCUAACAAGACUGCCAGUGCAAACUGUGAGGAAGGUGGGGAUGACGUCAAAUCAUCACGGCCCUUACGUCCUGGGCUACACACGUGCUACAAUGGUAGGUACAGAGAGCAGCCACUGGGUGACCAGGAGCGAAUCUAUAAAACCUAUCACAGUUCGGAUCGGAGUCUGCAACUCGACUCCGUGAAGCUGGAAUCGCUAGUAAUCGGAUAUCAGCCAUGAUCCGGUGAAUACGUUCCCGGGCCUUGUACACACAGCCCGUCAAGCCAUGGAAGCUGGAAGUGCCUGAAGUCCGUCACCGUAAAGGAUCCGCCUAGGGUAAAACCGAUAACGAGGGCUAAGUCGUAACAAGGUAACC
rnacentral:rRNA from 1 species